CCUACGGGAGGCAGCAGUGGGGAAUAUUGGGCAAUGGGCGCAAGCCUGACCCAGCAACGCCGCGUGAAGGAAGAAGGCUUUCGGGUUGUAAACUUCUUUUCUCAGGGACGAAGCAAGUGACGGUACCUGAGGAAUAAGCCACGGCUAACUACGUGCCAGCAGCCGCGGUAAUACGUAGGUGGCAAGCGUUAUCCGGAGUUACUGGGUGUAAAGGGCGUGUAGGCGGGAAAGCAAGUCAGAUGUGAAAACCAUGGGCUAAACCUGUGGCCUGCAUUUGGAACUGUUUUGCUUGAGUACUGGGGAGGCAGACGGAAUUCCUGGUGUAGCGGUGAAAGGCGUAGAUAUUAGGAGGAAAACCAGUGGCGAAGGCGGUCUGCUGGACAGCAACGGACGGUGGGCGCGAAAGCGUGGGGAGCAAACAGGAUUAGAUACCCCAGUAGUC
rnacentral:rRNA from 1 species